CACUCCAUUCCCUAAACUUAAUCAGGCCCACCGAAAACCGAUGUUGCAAAUGGAUAAUGGGGUAUUGAUGAGGCCACAUGUAGAUGAAUAAGCAAAGAAUCAAAACACACAUAGAAAUGGUCAAUGCGUACACAAUCAUAAAUGCAAAUGGAAGGUGUAGACUACUUAUUGUCAUUGUUCUACUGAGUUUGGCAGAAUAUUGUUUCGAAUUCGUCUUUAUGUGAGGAGUGAACUCUGAUUCACGUUUGAUUGAGCGAGGUUGCGUGUGAAGAGUGGAUUGAGAUGAUGAUGCGUUAGGUUUUGAAUUUGUCGAAAUGAUGAAGUUGAAGUGAGGUGAAAUUAGAGGUUGUGUUUAAAGGUUAGGGAGGGUGGAGUCAUUGGAAAAAUCCAAGAGAAACAAGUGUUGAAUGAAUGAAGAAGAUGAAUUCGAAGCCCUGAGGUUGGUUUAGAGAAGUGAAGCUUUUUUGGAUUGAGGUUGGUGAGUUCAACAUGAUGAAUGAGUUUCUUGGAGCUAUGAGAUUUUUCAAUUGAAGGCUGAUUGUGAGAAUGAGAAAAAUGAGUUCAGGAUCUGAGAUUUUAGUUUGGGAAAAAAAAUGAGAGGAGCCUCGAGAUGGUGAGUGCACUCUGAUUAUAUAGGUUAAUUGAAGUGUAUCAUAUGUCUGCCCUGCUUGGCUUGGACAUGGUUAUGAAGCUUGGACUGUUUUGAAGUGCAUUGGAUUGUGCUAAUUUUGCAGGUGGUACAAUCAAUUCAAUUCUGACUCUGCUCAUGAUUCUGAUUGAUUGCAGUAGGCCAUGUUGGUUAUGUAAUGGGAUUGGCUUGUGUUUAUGUUGAUUUACUUUGAUGCUGCAGUGUAAACUCAUUGUCUUGGGUAUUGUUUAUAGAUUUGUGGUUUCUGACUUGGCUUGCUUACUUGUGGAAUGGCCUUAGUUUCAUGCAUAUGCAUGUCAUGGUUCCAUGGAGGCUUAAUGCAUGAUGGAUGGACAAUGCAAAUGGCAUUAAGGUUGGAAUUUGAAGCAACAUGUGCAAUUGGUCAAUCAAGAAUCAACAUGAAAAUGGAAGAUUAGGGUUAGGAUUAGGGAUAGGGAUUUUAGGUUUUUCUUUUAGGAUUGGGUUGACUUUGGUCAAAGCUGACCAAAGUCAACAUUUGGGCAAAGUUCAUUUUUUUUUGUAUUUUUCUCAUGGAAUGGACAUUUGUAUGAUUGUAUAAUGAAUGAUAUUGAUAUUUUGAAUGAAAUGUAUUGGUUAUUGAAUGAA